CAAGCUUAAGCUGAGCACCUCGAAGGGCUUCUUUUUAUGUUGAAAGGCACGGGUUUGGAUGGCGGUUCAUCAGAGGUCAAUACCCCAGUUUGAGAAAGUCCACUGUGGGGAGGAAAGAGAGACUUGUAAGUACCAACUGUGCUCCACUCUGGUUUUGUCUGUAAGC
rnacentral:lncRNA from 1 species